CUGGGGGGUGAGCCAUCAGGGUGCUAUGGAAGGAGGGACCCUUGCAUGGGGUAUAAAUUUGGAGAAUACUUAGAGUGUCUCUUCCAACUAAAGGAUUUAUGUUAUUUCACCCAGGAAUGCUCAAACUUCGGAGUGCAUUAAGAUCCUAGUCAUACUUUGGAAUCCUGAAAGAAAACAGAGGAACCCAUUAUCUCUUGAUAAACAAACACUGUGGAUUCUCCCCUAACUUCCCACGCCCAGCAGAACUGCAGGCGGACAGGUUUUACGCCAACGACAGAUCUUCACUGGCGCAAAUGGAAAACGUAUCUCCCCGGCUCGCCGGGCGCUCUCCGCACUCCUGCUAGGACGGCCGGGGAGGACCGCGGAAGUUCACCACUCUGGAAACAGCCCUUUGGGAGGAAGGCAGGACAGGAGUUUCAAAAAGAAGGGGAAUUACGGACGUCCUGGGACCCUGGAAUCAGCAUUCCCAUGUUAAUUAGUGCUUGGCCAACCGGAGUAGGAAACUAGAGAUGCCGUUGCUCACCAGACGUUUCUCAGGUGAAUCACAGAACAUUCCGUAGUUUGCUCUGUGUGGUAGAAAAGAGUCUCUGGUUUUUCUUGUUCUUUGGUUGAAUGUGGGCCAAAAAAAUAUAUAUGUUCUUUCAAUUACGCUGAUCUGCUUUUUGUUUACCCUUGUCAUGUGAUUUCAAACAGCACGGUGGAGGGCUGCUUCGUUCAUUUCCCAUCAGGUUCAACUGAAGAGUGGUUUUCCACGUUGACGUCGAAAUUACAGUUGGCUUUUUAUUCCCCAGGAGUUCGGGACUCGCCACCGCCAGCAGGAUGGCCGCCGUCUUCUCAGCCUCGUGAAAAGCUCGACAGACCGCUCGAGGUGACCUGAAAGAAUCACUUUGGAGGGACACCGCGGCUGAAGACCGAAGAGUGAUGUUUAUCAACAUUAAAUAGACACUUGGUGAAGGAGGCAUAAAUAUUUCUUCAUAGAAACAGAACACGAAAUUAAAUAGUUCGGAAACACAGACAUCACUGAGUCCACGUCGACUGUUGUCGCCUGUAAACACCAGCUCACACUGAACACAGAAGCAGCUUUACCCCGGCCCGGGUGCGUGCCCGGAGGCCCUGUACAAAGGAGAGAUUUCUUCUCGGCCCCCGCCCCCGCCCCCCGCCCCCUCCCCUCCCGCUCCCCACACACCCCGGAGAAAGGAGAAAAACCCCAAUGACUACAGCAGUGACAAAAAUCACAAGCAACGGC
rnacentral:lncRNA from 1 species